rnacentral:misc_RNA from 1 species
UAUUUUUUUUUUUUUUUUUUUUUUUUUUUUUUUUUUUUUUUUUUUAUGUAUGUUACAUCAGAACUUUAGACCGGGUAGACCGAUUUCGACAAAUUUUGUUUUAAUCGAAAGGUGGUGUGUGCCAAUUGGUCCCAUUUAAAUUUAUUUGAGAUCUAACAACUACUUUUCGAGUUAUAUCUAAUAAUGUGUUUUUACUUGACGCUUUUUUCGUCGACCUACGUUGUAUUAUACCGCAUAACUUUCUACUGGAUGUACUGAUUUUGAUAAUUUUUUUUUUGUUGGAAAGGGGAUAUCCCUAAUUUGGUACCGUGAUAAGGAAACUAGGAUCUGAUGAUGGGAUCCCAGAGGAAUUGAGGGAAACUCUCGAAAAUCCGUAAUAACUUUUUACUGGGUGUACCGAUUUUGAUAAUUUUUAAUUUAAUCGAUA